UGCAAGUCGAGCGGUAACAGGAAAUAGCUUGCUAUUUCGCUGACGAGCGGCGGACGGGUGAGUAAUGCCUAGGAACAUGCCCUAACGUGGGGGAUAACCAUUGGAAACGAUGGCUAAUACCGCAUAAUGUCUUCGGACCAAAGAGGGGGACCUUCGGGCCUCUUGCGUUAGGAUUGGCCUAGGUGGGAUUAGCUAGUUGGUGAGGUAAUGGCUCACCAAGGCAAUGAUCUCUAGCUGGUCUGAGAGGAUGAUCAGCCACACUGGAACUGAGACACGGUCCAGACUCCUACGGGAGGCAGCAGUGGGGAAUAUUGCACAAUGGGCGAAAGCCUGAUGCAGCCAUGCCGCGUGUGUGAAGAAGGCCUUCGGGUUGUAAAGCACUUUCAGUCGUGAGGAAGGGGGUAUGUUUAAUACGCAUGCUCUUGACGUUAGCGACAGAAGAAGCACCGGCUAACUCCGUGCCAGCAGCCGCGGUAAUACGGAGGGUGCGAGCGUUAAUCGGAAUUACUGGGCGUAAAGCGCAUGCAGGUGGUUAGUUAAGUCAGAUGUGAAAGCCCAAGGCUCAACCUUGGAAUUGCAUUUGAAACUGGCUGGCUAGAGUACUGUAGAGGGGGGUAGAAUUUCAGGUGUAGCGGUGAAAUGCGUAGAGAUCUGA
rnacentral:rRNA from 1 species